GAUGAAGAACGUAGCGAAAUGCGAUAAGUAAUGCGAAUUGCAGAAUUCAGUGAAUCAUCGAAUCUUUGAACGCACAUUGCGCCCGCCAGUAUUCUGGCGGGCAUGCCUGUCUGAGCGUCGUUUCGACCCUCGCGCCCGGCUUCUGUCGGGGGCGGUGUUGGGGAUCGGCCACACCCUUCAGUGGGAGGCCGGCCCCUAAAUUCAGUGGCGACCACGCUGUAGCCUCCCUUGCGUAGUACUAAAACCACCUCGCAGGCGGAGAGCGGUGCGGCCCGCCGUAAAACCCCCCAACUUUUACAAGGUCGACCUCAGAUCAGGUAGGAAUACCCGCUGAACUUAAGCAUAUCAAUAAGCGGAGGA
rnacentral:misc_RNA from 1 species